UACGUAUGUCCCAAGCGUUAUCCGGAUUUAUUGGGCGUAAAGCGAGCGCAGGCGGUUAUUUAAGUCUGAUGUGAAAGCCUACGGCUCAACCGUAGAAUUGCAUCGGAAACUGGAUGACUUGAGUGCAGUAGAGGAGAGUGGAACUCCAUGUGUAGCGGUGAAAUGCGUAGAUAUAUGGAAGAACACCAGAGGCGAAGGCGGCUCUCUGGACUGUAACUGACGCUGAGGCUCGAAAGUGUGGGUAGCAAACAGG
rnacentral:rRNA from 1 species